UACAGAGGUCUCAAGCGUUGUUCGGAUUCAUUGGGCGUAAAGGGUGCGUAGGUGGCGCCAUAAGUCGGGUGUGAAAUCUCGGGGCUUAACUCCGAAACUGCAUUCGAUACUGUGGUGCUUGAGGACUGGAGAGGAGACUGGAAUUCAUGGUGUAGCAGUGAAAUGCGUAGAUAUCAUGAGGAAUACCAGAGGCGAAGGCGGCUCCCUGGACAAUAGCUGACACUCAGGCACGAAAGCGUGGGGAGCAAAAGGG
rnacentral:rRNA from 1 species